UACGGAGGGGGCUAGCGUUGUUCGGAAUUACUGGGCGUAAAGCGCGCGUAGGCGGACCUGCAAGUCGGGGGUGAAAGCCCGAGGCUCAACCUCGGAACUGCCUUCGAUACUGCGGGUCUCGAGUCCGGGAGAGGUGAGUGGAAUUCCUAGUGUAGAGGUGAAAUUCGUAGAUAUUAGGAAGAACACCAGUGGCGAAGGCGGCGACCUGGUCCGAUACUGACGCUGAGGCGCGAAAGCGUGAGGAGCAAACAGG
rnacentral:rRNA from 1 species